GAGACACUCUUCUGGGGAAAGACUUGCUUCAGUGGGACUUUGUUGCUCUCUGAGUCUGCUCCCUGAGUGUGUCUCA
rnacentral:pre_miRNA from 1 species